AGCUUGGCGCAGUGGCAGUAUCAUAGCCAAUGAGGUUUAUCCGAGGCACAUUAUUGCUAAUUGAAAACUUUUCCCAAUACCCCACCCAUGAUGACUUGAAAUAUAGUCGGCACUGACAAUUUGACAGUCUGUACAGA
rnacentral:snRNA from 1 species